AUUGAACGCUGGCGGCAUGCCUUACACAUGCAAGUCGAACGGCAGCACGGGAGCAAUCCUGGUGGCGAGUGGCGAACGGGUGAGUAAAGUAUCGGAACGUGCCCAGUCGUGGGGGAUAACGUAGCGAACGUUACGCUAAUACCGCAUAUGAUCUAUGGAUGAAAGCGGGGGAUCGCAAGACCUCGCGCGAUUGGAGCGGUCGAUAUCGAAUUAGGAAGUUAGUGGGGGAAAGGAUCACCAAGCCGACGAGCUGUAGCUGGGCUGAGAGGACGACCAGCCACACGGGGACUGAGACACGGCCCAGACUCCUACGGGAGGCAGCAGUGGGGAAUUUUGGACAAUGGGCGAAAGCCUGAUCCAGCCAUGCCGCGUGCAGGAUGAAGGCCUUCGGGUUGUAAACUGCUUUUGUACGGAACGAAAAGGUCUGGCCUAAUAAGCUGAGCUCAUGACGGUACCGUAAGAAUAAGCACCGGCUAACUACGUGCCAGCCGCCGCCGUAA
rnacentral:rRNA from 1 species